GACGAACGCUGGCGGCGUGCCUAAUACAUGCAAGUCGAGCGGAAUGAUGAAGAAGCUUGCUUCUUCUGAUUUUAGCGGCGGACGGGUGAGUAACACGUGGGCAACCUACCUUGUAGAUUGGGAUAACUCCGGGAAACCGGGGCUAAUACCGAAUAAUCCAUUUUGCUUCAUGGCGAGAUGUUGAAAGACGGUUUCGGCUGUCACUACAAGAUGGGCCCGCGGCGCAUUAGCUAGUUGGUAGGGUAAUGGCCUACCAAGGCGACGAUGCGUAGCCGACCUGAGAGGGUGAUCGGCCACACUGGGACUGAGACACGGCCCAGACUCCUACGGGAGGCAGCAGUAGGGAAUCUUCCGCAAUGGACGAAAGUCUGACGGAGCAACGCCGCGUGAGUGAAGAAGGUUUUCGGAUCGUAAAACUCUGUUGUUAGGGAAGAACACGUACGAGAGUAACUGCUCGUACCUUGACGGUACCUAACCAGAAAGCCACGGCUAACUACGUG
rnacentral:rRNA from 1 species